CCAGGGAGCACAGGAACCAGGGAGCACUGGGGAAGGGAGCACAGGAGCCAGGGAGCACUGGGGAAGGGAGGACAGGAACCAGGGAGCACUGGGGAAGGGUAUGUUGGGCACUGCCAGUAUUGGGAGAUGGGAAGUAAAUGGGAAUGGGCGACCUUGGCUAUACUGGGAAUAGGGAUAUUAGGGGGGCCUGAGCCCAGGUAUGUUGUGGGGGAAUAUACUGGGGCUGGGAAUUGGGAGCUUAGGGGGCCCUGAGCCCAGGUAUGUUGGGGGCAUAUACUGGGAAUUGGGAGCUUAGGGGGCCCUGAGCCCAGGUAUGUUGGGGGCAUAUACUGGGAAUUGGGAGCUUAGGGGGCCCUGAGCCCAGGUAUGUUGGGGGCAUAUACUGGGGCUGUGAAUUGGGAGCUUAGGGGGCCCUGAGCCCAGGUAUGUUGGGGGCAUAUACUGGGGCUGUGAAUUGGGAGCUUAGGGGGCCCUGAGCCCAGGUAUGUUGGGGGCAUAUACUGGGGCUGGGAAUUGGGAGCUUAGGGGGCCCUGAGCCCAGGUAUGUUGGGGGCAUAUACUGGGGCUGGGAAUUGGGAGCUUAGGGGGCCCUGAGCCCAGGUAUGUUGGGGGCAUUGACUUUAGGGAAUGAGGUAACUUGGGGAGAGAGGAAUUCAAGAAUGUUGAGUGGGAAAAGAUGUAGCCUCUGGCCAGUGAGAAGGGCAAGUAUUAUGGGAGAGCUUAAUGGUGGGAAAAUGGGUAUGCAGGGCUCAGUGCCAUUAAAUAGAGUUAAUACUGGCCAGAAGCCUAGGUUAUGUUGGGGGCAUUCCAUGCAGAGUAAGGGGCAUAAGGGUGAAGACACACUGAGCUACUAGCAGCAACUAAUUUUUUACAGCUACAAAACACCAGAAAAUCCCCUGCCUUAGACAGUAUGGAGCGUUGCGAAAACAGAGAAUUAUCAGUAACUGAUUGGCAUUGAAUAUUUUAGUAGCUGUGACAAGUAGCUGCUACUACUGUGUGUCUUCGACCUAAGGAAGGAGAAUUCUUAGUAUGGAAGGAAUUUUAGAAUUGAGGAAGUAGUGUAGGUAAUGGAGGAACACGUGUUAGAAGCAGGAA